GACGAAGGGGGCUAGCGUUGUUCGGAAUUACUGGGCGUAAAGCGCGUGUAGGCGGUUGCCCAAGUCGGGUGUGAAAGCCUUGAGCUCAACUCAAGAAAUGCACUCGGUACUGGGUGACUAGAGGACCGGAGAGGAUAGUGGAAUUCCCAGUGUAGUGGUGAAAUACGUAGAGAUUGGGAAGAACACCAGUGGCGAAGGCGGCUAACUGGUCCAGCACUGACGCUGAGGUGCGAAAGCGUGGGGAGCAAACAGG
rnacentral:rRNA from 1 species